rnacentral:sRNA from 1 species
UUAAAUGGAUUAACCCAUUUAACAACUCAAUCCAUCAAAUUAAAUGAGUUAUGGGUUGACUCAUUUAACUCUAAACUCAUUUGAUUAUGAGUUGAGUUGAAUUGGGUUACCAAUUUUGACACCCCUAAGCGGAUACACCUUUAACGGAUUAAACUACUCUAUUUUUGGAGAUGAUAACAAACUGUUGU